CAGGCCUCAGCAUAUCUUCAGAAAUUGCAGAACUAUACAGAGUAGAGCUUUCCAGAAACCCAGAGACACUAUUAUUUAAAAGCUUUUCUCAGUCAAGUAAGCAUCAUUUCAGAAGGCUUCUUGAAGAAAUCUUUGCCACUACAGGAAGCUCUCAGGUUCACUGACAAUAAAAAGAAAAAGGAAAGAAAAGAUCACCCUUGAAUUCCAUCUCCAAAAACAGUUUGAAAAAAAAAAAAUCUUUCUCAAGUUACCCGAAAUAAGAGGUGCUGGUCUGGCUGGGUAUCCUGAACAUCUUGUGACCAUGACCUUCACCAUCAGCCUAGGGCCGUUGGAAAGGGGGCCUUCCAGAGGAGUCUACCACCUAAUCCAGAAGCAGGCAAGCCAUGGAAUCUAAAGCAAGUACUCAUGGUUCAUUAACACUUAACAUUUACACUUCACCUCUUCAUCUU